UGUAAGCGUAUACCAAAGUUGUUGCAGUUAAAACGCUCGUAGUCGGACUUUGGCAGUUCCGGAUGUGUGCACGUCGUGUGCGCACUUCGCGGGGAUUGCUUUUGUGGUCUUGCGUAGGAUGAGGCACUUUUAUUAGUGAACGUCCUCACGCAACCACUUUUUACUGUGAGAAAAUCAGAGUGCUCAAAGCAGGCAUUUGCCGUGAAUGUAUUAGCAUGGAAUAAUAGAAUAGGACUUGGUUCUAUUUUGUUGGUUUGUUGGGACUGAGUAAUGAUUAAGAGGGACAGUUGGGGGCAUUUGUACUUCGGUGCUAGAGGUGAAAUUCUUAGAUUACCGAAAGACAAACUGCUGCGAAAGCGUCUGCCAAGGAUGUUUUCAUUGA
rnacentral:rRNA from 1 species